UACGAAGGGGCUAGCGUUGCUCGGAAUCACUGGGGCGUAAAGGGUGCGUAGGCGGGUUUUUAGUCAGGGGUGAAAUCCUGGAGCUCAACUCCAGAACUGCCUUUGAUACUGAAGAUCUUGGAGUCCGGGAGAGGUGAGUGGAACUGCGAGUGUAGAGGUGAAAUUCGGUAGAUAUUCGCCAAAGAACACCAGUGGCGAAGGCGGGCUC
rnacentral:rRNA from 1 species